UCAAGCUAUAAAGAGCGCAAGGGGAAUGCCUUGGCAUCAGGAGCCGAUGAAGGACGUGAUAAGCUGCGAUAAGCUUCGGGUAGGCGCACAUAGCCAGUGAUCCGGAGAUUUCCGAAUGAGGGAACUCACAUGGGAAACCCCAUGUACCGUAUAGUGAAUACAUAGCUAUACGGAGGUAAACCUAGGGAACUGAAACAUCUAAGUACCUAGAGGAAGAGAAAGAAAAAUCGAUUUUCUGAGUAGCGGCGAGCGAAAGGGAAAGAGCCCAAACCAGUGACUUGUCACUGGGGUUGCGGACAGAGCAUUAACGAGAAGAUGUUAUUAACCGAACAUAACUGGAAAGUUAGACCGUAGGAGGUAAUAGUCCUGUAGGUGAAAGUAACAUUUAUCAAGCUUUGAUCCAGAGUACCACGAGACACGUGAAACCUUGUGGGAAGCAGGGAGGACCACCUCCCAAGGCUAAAUACUACCUGAUGACCGAUAGUGAAGCAGUACCGUGAGGGAAAGGUGAAAAGAACCCCGGGAGGGGAGUGAAAUAGAACCUGAAACCCUGCACUUACAAGCUGUGGGAGCACAUUACUUGUGUGACCGCGUACUUUUUGUAGAACGGGCCAACGAGUUACGUUAAGUAGCAAGGUUAAGCACUUAAGGUGUGGAGCCGUAGCGAAAGCGAGUCUUAAAUGGGCGAUUAAGUUACUUGGCGUAGACCCGAAACCGGGCGACCUAUCCAUGAGCAGGUUGAAGCGAAAGUAAAAUUUCGUGGAGGACCGAACCCACGAGCGUUGAAAAGCUCGGGGAUGACUUGUGGAUAGCGGUGAAAUUCCAAUCGAGCCCGGAGAUAGCUGGUUCUCCCCGAAAUAGCUUUAGGGCUAGCCUCAAGCGUAGAGAAACGGAGGUAGAGCACUGAAUGUCCUAGGGGGUAUUGCACUUACCGAAGACUAUCAAACUCCGAAUGCCGUUUUCUUUUACUUGGGAGUCAGACUGUGGGUGAUAAGAUUCAUAGUCAAAAGGGCAACAGCCCAGAUCGUCAGCUAAGGUCCCUAAAUGUACGUUAAGUGGUAAAGGAUGUGGGAUUGCACAGACAACCAGGAUGUUGGCUUAGAAGCAGCCACUCAUUUAAAGAGUGCGUAAUAGCUCACUGGUCGAGUGAUCCUGCGCCGAAAAUUUCCGGGGCUAAAACGUACUACCGAAGCUACGGCAUCAUUUAUGAUGGGUAGGGGAGCUUCGUAUGCAGGCUGAAGCAUGACCGUAAGGACAUGUGGACAGUAUACGAGUGAGAAUGUUGGCAUGAGUAGCGAGACGUGGGUGAGAAUCCCACGGGCCGUAAACCCAAGGUUUCCAGGGGAAGGUUCGUCCGCCCUGGGUUAGUCGGGACCUAAGCCGAGGCCGAAAGGCGUAGGUGAUGGACAACAGGUUGAUAUUCCUGUACCGCCAAUAAGCGUUUGAGAGAUGGAGUGACACAGUAGGAUAAGCUAACCGUACUGUUGGUUAUGUACGGCUAAGCAUUGAGGCAGUCUAAAUAGGCAAAUCCGUUUAGACAAUGCUAGGAUGUGAUGGGGAAGCCCUUCGGGGCGAAGUAGCUGAUUUCACACUGUCAAGAAAAGCUUCUAUCGAGUUUAAAGGCGCCCGUACCGUAAACCGACACAGGUGGGUGAGGAGAGUAUCCUAAGGCCAGCGAGAGAACUAUUGUUAAGGAACUCGGCAAAAUGACCCCGUAACUUAGGGAGAAGGGGUGCCUGUCUAUGACAGGCCGCAGAGAAUAGGCCCAAGCGACUGUUUACCAAAAACACAGGUUUCUGCUAAGUCGCAAGACGAUGUAUAGGAGCUGACGCCUGCCCGGUGCUGGAAGGUUAAGGGGAUCUGUUAGAGCAAUCGAAGCAGUGAACUUAAGCCCCAGUAAACGGCGGCCGUAACUAUAACGGUCCUAAGGUAGCGAAAUUCCUUGUCAGGUAAGUUCUGACCCGCACGAAUGGCGUAAUGACUUGGGCACUGUCUCAACUGCAAAUCCGGCGAAGUUGUAGUGCGAGUGAAGAUGCUCGCUACCCGCGAUUGGACGGAAAGACCCCGUAGAGCUUUACUGUAGCUUAGCAUUGAAUUCCGGUAUUGUCUGUACAGGAUAGGUGGGAGACUGGGAAACUAGGGCGUCAGCCUUAGUGGAGUCAUCCUUGGGAUACCACCCUGACAGUACUGGGGUUCUAACAGGAUGCCAUGAAUCUGGUGACUGGACAUUGUUAGGUGGGCAGUUUGACUGGGGCGGUCGCCUCCUAAAAAGUAACGGAGGCGCCCAAAGGUUCCCUCAGAACGGUCGGAAAUCGUUCGUAGAGUGCAAAGGCAGAAGGGAGCCUGACUGCGAGACCUACAAGUCGAGCAGGGACGAAAGUCGGGCUUAGUGAUCCGGUGGUACCUCGUGGGAGGGCCAUCGCUCAACGGAUAAAAGCUACCUCGGGGAUAACAGGCUGAUCUCCCCCAAGAGUCCACAUCGACGGGGAGGUUUGGCACCUCGAUGUCGGCUCAUCGCAUCCUGGGGCUGAAUUCGGUCCCAAGGGUUUGGCUGUUCGCCAAUUAAAGCGGCACGCGAGCUGGGUUCAGAACGUCGUGAGACAGUUCGGUCCCUAUCCGUCGCGGGCGCAGGAAAUUUGAGAGGAUCUGUCCUUAGUACGAGAGGACCGGGAUGGACAUACCGCUGGUGUACCAGUUGUUCUGCCAAGGGCAUCGCUGGGUAGCUAUGUAUGGAUGAGAUAAACGCUGAAAGCAUCUAAGUGCGAAACUCACCUCGAGAUAAGAUUUCCCACUCCUUUAUGGAGUUAAGACCCCUGAGAGAUGAUCAGGUAGAUAGGAUGGAAGUGGAAGUGCGGCGACGCAUGGAGCGGACCAUUACUAAUCGGUCGAGGACUUAACCAA
rnacentral:rRNA from 1 species